UACAGAGGGUGCGAGCGUUGUCCGGAAUCACUGGGCGUAAAGGGCGCGUAGGUGGCGCUGCAAGUCGGUGGUGAAAGCUCGUCGCUUAACGACGAGUCGGCCGUCGAAACUGCAGGGCUGGAGCACUGUAGGGGCUAAUGGAAUUCCGGGUGUAGCGGUGGAAUGCGUAGAGAUCCGGAAGAACACCAGUGGCGAAGGCGGUUAGCUGGGCAGUUGCUGACACUGAGGCGCGACAGCGUGGGGAGCAAACAGG
rnacentral:rRNA from 1 species